GAUGAAGAACGUAGCGAAAUGCGAUAAGUAAUGUGAAUUGCAGAAUUCAGUGAAUCAUCGAAUCUUUGAACGCACAUUGCGCCCGCCAGUAUUCUGGCGGGCAUGCCUGUUCGAGCGUCAUUACAACCCUCAGGCCCCCGGGCCUGGCGUUGGGGAUCGGCGGAGCCCCCCGUGGGCACACGCCGUCCCCCAAAUACAGUGGCGGUCGCGCCGCAGCUUCCAUCGCGUAGUAGCUAACACCUCGCGACUGGAGAGCGGCGCGGCCACGCCGUAAAACACCCAACUCUUCUGAAGUUGACCUCGAAUCAGGUAGGAAUACCCGCUGAACUUAAGCAUAUCAAUAAGCGGAGGA
rnacentral:misc_RNA from 1 species